rnacentral:rRNA from 1 species
UACGUAGGGUGCGAGCGUUGUCCGGAAUUAUUGGGCGUAAAGAGCUCGUAGGCGGUUUGUCGCGUCGACUGUGAAAACCUACAGCUUAACUGUGGGCUUGCAGUCGAUACGGGCAGACUUGAGUUCGGUAGGGGAGACUGGAAUUCCUGGUGUAGCGGUGAAAUGCGCAGAUAUCAGGAGGAACACCGGUGGCGAAGGCGGGUCUCUGGGACGGUACUGACGCUGAGACGCGAAAGCGUGGGGAGCGAACAGG